CCUACGGGAGGCAGCAGUGAGGAAUAUUGGUCAAUGGGCGCGAGCCUGAUCCAGCCAAGCAGCGUGAAUGAUGAAUGCCCUACGGGUUGUAAGCUCCUUCUGCAGGGGAAUAAAGAGAGGCACGCGUGCCUUUUUGCAUGUACUUUAUGCGUAAGAGUCGGCUAAGUACGUGCCAGCAGCCGCGGUAAUACGGAGGGUACGAGCGUUAUCCGGAUUUAUUGGGUGUAAAGGGAGCGUAGAUGGGUUGUUAAGUCAGAUGUGAAAGCUCGCGGCUCAACCGUAGAACUGCAAUUGAUACUGGCAAGCUUGAGUACAGGAGAGGUAGGUGGAAUUCGUGGUGUAGCGGUGAAAUGCGUAGAUAUCACGAGGAACACCGAUGGCGAAGGCAGCUUACUGAACGGCCACUGACGUUGAGGCUCGAAAGUGUGGGGAGCAAACAGGAUUAGAUACCCCAGUAGUC
rnacentral:rRNA from 1 species